rnacentral:rRNA from 1 species
GAUGAACGCUGGCGGCGUGCCUAAUACAUGCAAGUCGAGCGAACAGACGAGGAGCUUGCUCCUCUGACGUUAGCGGCGGACGGGUGAGUAACACGUGGAUAACCUACCUAUAAGACUGGGAUAACUUCGGGAAACCGGAGCUAAUACCGGAUAAUAUAUUGAACCGCAUGGUUCAAUAGUGAAAGACGGUUUUGCUGUAACUUAUAGAUGGAUCCGCGCCGCAUUAGCUAGUUGGUAAGGUAACGGCUUACCAAGGCAACGAUGCGUAGCCGACCUGAGAGGGUGAUCGGCCACACUGGAACUGAGACACGGUCCAGACUCCUACGGGAGGCAGCAGUAGGGAAUCUUCCGCAAUGGGCGAAAGCUUGACGGAGCAACGCCGCGAGAGUGAUGAAGGUCUUCGGAUCGUAAAACUCUGUUAUUAGGGAAGAACAAAUGUGUAAGUAACUAUGCACGUCUUGACGGUACCUAAUCAGAAAGCCACGGCUAACUACGUG